CUCGCCGUUAAAACAUAUGUGUUUAGGCCUACAAAAAAUAACUCAAAACAAACCCUAAAAUGGAAUGAUCAUGCUGAAAAAGCCACUAAAGUCCUGAUGAGCUGCAGAUUUGGGAGCACACCUGCCAGUCACACUCUGCAGGGAGAGAAGGUCAGGCAAGGAGCAUUCAUUGGAGUAGCUGCAAAGAGUACCAUGUAAACUAUGGAGGAGCUGCAGAGAUUUACAGAUCAGGCUGCUCUCCCACCACACCCCUCGUUUCCUGUGGCUGGAACAGAAGGGAACAGUUGCACCCUGAUAAGCCCGCUCAGAGGGAAGCCUAUACAGGCCGGUUAAUCAGGGAGCUGGAUGCUUUCAGUCAACAACAAUCACAAGCUCUCAUCAUGUUUUGUGCUGAUGUCGGGUUUUCUGAUACUUAAGUGAAGUCCAUAAAUUCCGUAUGUGGUCUCCUAUAUGUGCCACAGCCAUAUCCAUUACCAUAUGAU